rnacentral:rRNA from 1 species
UACGUAGGGUGCAGGCGUUAAUCGGAAUUACUGGGCGUAAAGCGUGCGCAGGCGGUUUGCUAAGACAGGUGUGAAAUCCCCGGGCUUAACCUGGGAAUGGCGAUGGAGACUGCGAGGCUAGAGUUUGGCAGAGGGGGGUAGAAUUCCACGUGUAGCAGUGAAAUGCGUAGAGAUGUGGAGGAACACCGAUGGCGAAGGCAGCCCCCUGGGUCAAAACUGACGCUCAUGCACGAAAGCGUGGGGAGCAAACAGG